UGUAUGAUGAGAGUUUAAAUUCCUACUACAGCCAUAUAUACAUGCUUGCUAGACUUUGAGCCACACAUUUACUUUUUACUGCUUAUGAGCAUUGAGUGUGGUCAAGCUGUGUAGACCUUAGGAGCUUGUCAUGUGGUUAAAAUCAAGAUUCACUUGCACGUUCACUCAUACAUGCUGCUUCUACUCCGGAAGUACGCAUCCACAUAUAUCCACUCAUUUCCAUCUCCAGAACCACCCAAAAAUAUUCUACUCCUAAUCCGGGAGAGAAUAGCCAAAAACAUUUCUGUUUUUCUCCUGUGAAAUAAAUGCUCAAGUUAUCUUGGUUACUGCCACUUGCUACAUUAUUUCAAGAGAUGAGUGCUCUAAAAAAAGAGAGAGAGAAAAAAAGAUACGAGGAAAUAAAAAGGGGCAAGUGCCUGGAUCCUCGAAAGAAAAGAAAAAAGUGAGACGAGAGGUAAAAAUGGACAAGUGUCCGAUAGUAGAAUUAGGGGUACAAGAUACCCACCUGAGAGGAAAGAAAAAGAAAGUGUAGAGCAUCUCAUUCUCCUCAAAAAGUUUUAAAGAGCAAGGAAGGUAUGUAUCCCCUCAAAAGAGCACCCGUAGAAUUAGACUUUCACCAUUGUUUUCACCAUUGUUAUCCCCAUCAUCACCAUACACCAUUCAUUCGCCACACAUGCACAUCUUGAUUUGACUUAUUGACUUGUUUCAUUGGAUCCAUGGUUUGACUAUGCAAUAAAUGUCUUGUAAGUAUGUAUACUUUAUCUUCUACCUAUGAGCUCCAGAUAUUAAAGCCUUAUUAGAGUAGGGUGAGAGAGAAGGCAAUGUCACUAUGUCUUAUACAACAAAUACUACAUACUUUGAGAGAAGGCAUAUACCAUCACUGCCUUGGUAAGGAUCUAGAAAUACCACAAAAGAGAGAUCUGAGAGAAUCAUACAAGGAAUCUCUGAGUUUUAUUUGAAAAUCUGCAAAAACUUCAGAGCUAUAGCUGAUCAAGAAUAAGAGACAUGGCACUUGACUAGACCGUUUUAUCUUUUAACUACUCAAGACAGAAGUGACGGUUACAAGUCCUAUGGUGAAAGGUAAAAUAAGUAAGUUUUAAGUCUUGACGAUUUACUCUAACUCAGAGAUGAGACCUUAUUUGAAAGCAUGUGUACCGUCAACUUUUAAAGGCAUUACAACAACUUCUGAUCCAUCACUGAGAUUAUCCUUGCUCAGGGACGAGCAAGAGGUAAGCUUGGGGGAGUUUGUUGACGGUCCUUAAGUAUCAAAUAUAAUCAGCAAAUAAACAAAGAAAAGGAUGCAAAUGCAAUCGAUAUCCAGACUUAGGGUUUUAUCUGACAGAAUUCCAUGAGUUUUGGUGUUUGUCUAUUUCUGCAGGGGGUUAUCAAGAAAUACGGAAGAAAGGCCCACACGUCGCGAUUACAUAUAGAUAUUAAUGUACCGCGCAAUUAUCUUACAUCUAGAAGGGUCCAGAAGCCACAGGAACGUACCGCCCUCCCCCUUGGGCGCCCGCCCUAGCCUUUCCACCAAUCACUGCCAAUCUCGCGGAUCAUGCUCCACUGACCUAAAGGAUUAAGGAUAACCGUUCAGUCAAUGUCGGUUUGAUCCGACGGCCCACAUUCACUUGGAAGGACUAUAUAACCAGACCCCCUGGCCCCUAGAGGAGGGAGCCUCUCAACCCUAAUUCAUUAUUCAUCUUGGGAGAAGAAGCCUCUGAUCAAGCCCUGGAGCCACCACAUCAAUUAGAUCUCUAGAUUAGCAUAGCUACAUAGGAUUAGAACUAGAAGGAGUCAAUCUUCGAUUGGUUUCCGGAUCUGUCAAGAGGAUUGUUGGUAAUUCUUUAUUGUUCUUCAAUUGUUCAUCUUUGUUCUUCAAUAUUAUGAAUAUGACUUUGUUCUACUUCAAUAUAUUGAUUAUGACUUUGCUCUACUUGUUUAUAUUCACAAUUAUAUUAUUCUUAGUUUAUCAUAGUUAUAUACUUGGCAUAGUUAGAUUGGAAUUAUAUACAAGUUUAGGAUCGUAUAGCAUUUAUCCAUGUGUACAGUGGGUAAAUGAUAAGUAUUGUGUAGGCGUGGUGCCUAUACCGUAUUUAUCUGCGAUUGUACCCUAUAUGCCAGACCGCGGGGUAGUUCGUGGUAGUGACAGCUCCAUUGAUUCUUAUAUAGUCCCCCUCUCGUGUAUUGGGCUGGCAGAGCAACAUUAUUACAGGGGAGUGAUUGCGAUGUUUCUCAUAUUCCUUGAUAAUAUCACUAUGCGUGGGCGUAGUCCUGUCUCGCAAUGAUUGCUAAGUAUAAAUGCACUAACUAUGAUAUGCUAGACUGUAUAGUUAAGAAUAACUUAGGAAAUUUUCUUGUAGUUCGUCCUAAUUCCAUGCUAAUGACUGGCUAGAAUAUCUAAUUGAGGUGCUUAUCAUAUUUAUAUGUGGCUAAGUUAUGCUGAUCAGAUUAAUUAUCUUCGUCACCAUUUAUACUUUAUAUAUCUUUUGUGUGACACUUAUCCCUGUAUGAAAGAGAUAGAUAGAUGCUCUCAAUUAUACAUGCAAUGAUAGAUACUCAAUUCUAUAUUCCAUUCUAUAAUCAACAUUGAUGAUUACUAAUCCCUUCCUAGUGGUAAAAAUAUAAAUAACGAUACCUGGAAUACUUCCCGGUUAAAAUGCUACAUCAGUAUUAAUCUGUGCGCUUGCAGAUCUCAUUUAUUAUUUAUUUAGAAGAGCAAUUGCAUAUUUCAAUACCGCGUCUUUCAUGUCAUGCUGGGGAUGACAACUUGGCUUAAGUGGCAUGGGGGAUAGAUUUUGCAUUUUUGGUGCCAUUAUCAGAAUUAGAAAACUAAGUCUACUUUUGGUAGUGACGUUAAGAAUGCCCAACAGUAGCUCGCGAGGGUGACUCUUAUAGCCUCACUAAAUCUUCCAUAGUCCACCUCUCAUUUGUAGGCCAAGUAGGACCUGGUUGCUAAGGAAAACAUCCUCUGCUGGUAUCUUUUCUUAAGUAAUGUCCCCAUUUGAACAAUACUAAAUAUAGGUUGCGAAGGUUAGAACUAGAAAACCCUAGUGAUCUUCUCUAUAUCCCUAUCAUCUCUAUCUUUGUUGCUUCUCAAGGGUUAAGCAUAGAUUUAGUUAGUCUCUCAUGUUAUUCUUGUGGAUAAAUACAAUACUCUAGAAUAUCCUAGAUAAAGUGCUACAUCGAUAUCCAUGCACUUGUAGAUCUCUCUAUAUGAUUAUUCUAUGUGUGUUAACAAAUACCAACACUAGGCAGAUUGUUACAUAGUCAAUCUAUGUAGUAGCGAUGAUCUCAAAUUAAUUCUAUGAUGAAUUGAUUGUACUCCACACGAUAGAACCAGAACACACCAUGUGAUCAAAUAAAUAUGAGACACAUGGAGGAACCAGCCCAGGACAUGUGACAUGUGGGCUAUUAAUAAUUCAGCACAUGGAACACUAGUAUAUUUGCACACUAUACAGGCGGUUGGUAACAUAUUUCUACAGGCGUUUUCCGGAUCCGCCUGCGCUGGAGGCCAGUACAAAUCGUCCAUUUCCAUAGGCGGUCUCUUGAGAGCCGCCAGUAUAAACCUUUUACACAGGCGGCUCUCUUAGGAAACCGCCUGUGUAAAUGUUCAUUUACACAGGCGGUUUCCUAAGAGAGACGCCUGUGUAAACCUAUUAAAAUAUGCAUUAUUUAUUUAUUUUUUAAUUUAUCUAUUUAUUUAUUUAUUAUUUUAUUGUUAUUAUUUAAAUAUAUUGAUAUUGGUUGGUCUUCUAACAUAGCAACAUGUAAUUUAAAUACUUCAUCUCAUACAUACAUUUGUAUACAUCAAAGUUUGGUGCUCAAAGACAUAAAGUUAAUUACAAGAGUAUAUCCAUCAUCACACAUCAUAUAUAUAUACAUCAAAGUUUGUUUCUGUCCUCUAAUAACCCUCUUUAGUAAGUUUGAGCUUACUAAUCUCUGUUAGCACUCGGAACUCUAGCCUGGAUAAUUGGCUUUCAUCAUCAUGAUAUUUGCCUUCACGUGGAAUGACAUGCUUCAUGAUGAACGAGCAGAUGUCCUCAACUAUGUUGUCUAAAGCACGUUCGUCCAUGCGCUCCGCCGUCCUUUGCUUAUAUACCUGCAAAGAAAGUUUAUAAACAUUAUAUAUUUUAUGACUUCCAACUUUAAUAGACUAUUACUUAUAUUACCUUAGCAGGGUUCCUUGCAUAUCAUCCGUUUUCUCUCAUGUUCUCGCACACGUAGUAGUCACAGAGGACAGAUAACGGUGGUUGCUUCAUGCACUGUAUAACAGGAGAGUGGUUAUUUAAUUAUAGUUGCAACUGUGGUCGUAUAUGUAUGAUUUGUAUUCAUAAUAGUAAAUUUUUAUACGUACCGGCCAGUUAUGUAUAACCUCCAAUGGUUGCCCUGGUCUCUUGGACUCGCACUUUCCAUGAUUUAUCUUAUAGAACCUGUAUGCCCUAUGAUCUCAAAUAGAAUCACCAUGUUAUUGUCAAUUUCUCACUAUGCUUAAGUAUGCAUGCAUAGCUUGACUUACAGCUCUAGCAGUUUGAUGAAUGGAGCAUAGCUUUCUUUCGUGUAAUCUGCGGAGUCUAGUACCAACACCCUUCCCUCCUUGGGAUAAAUGACGAAGCAUAUCCAAUGCCUCCUGCUCAAAUUAAAUCCAUGAUGCAUUUAUGCAUUGGAAUAAUUUAGAUAGAUAUUUGUAAACUCACACUUACCCAAAGUGGUACGGGGCCACCACCGCUUUCCUGUCUUGAAACUUUAUUAGUGAAUGUCCAAUGUAGAAGGCGUAUUUAGCUUCAAAAUCAAGUUUCAACUUUCGGAGUUUCUCAUCCCGUUCUGCACCUUCCAAACCCCGUACCUCUGUGCUGUCAUUCCCGAUCCGGAAUGUGUGCUGAUCUUCGGCUAUAUCUAUUGGGCAAAGAUAGGCAUUCCUUUCUUCGGCACAAUAAUUUAGGUCCGAACCAAAAUACAUAUCUUGUUGAUCAUAUAACAUUCUGCAAGACAGAAGCAUGUCAGAUAUUGAAAAUUAAUGCAACUAUAAUGUGUGUAACUAUGUAACACUUACAAUGCAAAUGCCGUUACGAUCUGUACAUCUAGCAUCUCGUGGUUCAUCAGUGCCCACAUGUCAUCAAAUGUAAGCAUGCAUUUGUCAGUACUCUGGCUGAGAAAUGCUAUUUGUGGUAUGCGCAUGCUUAUGGUGUCGAUACCAGUCAUGAAACCUUUUUAUACCACUUGGUUUCUUCAUAAGUUUGGUCCGACUGAGUAGAGGCUUUCCCCACACGUACUUUUUGGGGAUAGUCUUGUAGUCUUCUGCAGUUGGCACCUUGAAAUUGACAGGAGUUAUGACCUUAGGCGCCGGCACCUCUGACUUUGCUAGCUUAGAAAUCUCAUGCUCUUGUAUUGUGCGUUUUGAAGCAAUGCCUGACAAAAAUCUCACUUGCCCAGCUGAUUUUUUCUUUGGCUCGAAUGGUGAAAUCAACUUAGGUAUCAGAAAUACUUUCUUCUUUGUCACCUUUGGUGGCUCACUUAUUGGUUCUGGAUCUUUCAGUUGUGGGGAAGGGGUGGAAUUGAAUGGUGGUGGAGAUUGUGUUGACUGUGGGGUAGAAAGAUCAUGGAGAGGAGAUGGUUGAUGGACAGGGAAAACAUGGAGAGGUGAUUCUGGUGGGUCAGGAAGAGACUGGAGAGGUGAAGGCGGUGGGUUAGGAAGAGGAUCGACAUGAGCUGACGACUCUUGGGUUAGUGGCAUCUCUUGAGAGGGUGGUGGUGGCUCCCUUAGUUGCACGUCCCUCCGAGGCCAUAGGAUGAAAUUGUUUAUCAUCUAUCCUAGUUUCACAUUGUCCUCGGGACCAGGGAUGUCUAGAAUCUCGUCCUCAUAUCCUUGGACCACGGUUGAUACCUCUACUCUGCAGUAGUCUUUAGGGAUGUCAGCACCAUGGUAUUUAGGUCCUCCUGGGAUCGCUUUGCCCGUGGCUACUUCCCUUGUACGAUGAUUGUUAAUCCCAUAUCUUAUGACAAGGGAGCAAGGUGUAGAACUAACAAUGUCGUCAAUUGGAUAGUGAUCCUUAUUUGCCGUAGAUGCGACACUGCUUGGAAUGAUUGUUUCACUUGAUGCCACCAACGGUUGCGACACCACUGGGACAAGCUGCAUUUCGGGAGCUUGAGUGCUCAUUUGGGUAGCUGCAUUUGACAUGGCACUCGCUAGUUUCUGCAUCAACUCAGGAGGAGGAUUUUCUAGCAACUUCUCCAUCAUCUCUUGGAAGUCUUUCUAAGCCUCUUCCUGAAAAUAAUGUGCCAUUUGAUCCUUGUACCGAUCACGUUUCUUAUACUCAUUUGCCCAUUGAGGUCCGAAUCCAUCCUUCCAUCCUUCUUUGGAUGAAAUGCCUCGAACACGGCCAGGAUGCUCGGGGUUACCGAGGCCAACACUAAGUGUGUCCCUCUCCCUUUGUGGCGUAAACUUGCCUUUCUGCUGCAUGCCUGCCACAGCAAAGAUGCUCUUCAUUGCUUCAUCAAGCAUUGGGUCUUCAAAGGACACACCUGUCUCGGUUUCCUUUGGUUUCCGAGCACCGAUUCAAUUCGUGGACCUUUCACCGACUUGCUCGGACAACACUGGCAACCCUACUGCCUUCUUCCCAGCCUCUUCUUGCCUCCAUUUAGGAACUUGGUGCCGGUAACUACCUGUGCCUAGAUGGUGGUGGUACUUGUUCCUCUUUGCGAGCUGGGAGUUGGCUUCGCACCGAGCUAAGAAGUUAGGGUCAUUCCUCUGCUCUAGAAAAUGAGCCCACUGCCCUUUAGUAAUAUUGUAUUUGGAUGUCAGAUCCAUCCCUGUCUUAGCAUACUUGACAUUCAUCUCCGACCUCCAAUUUCGGAAACUAACCGCACAUUGCUUCAUUGUAUAUGCCUUCACUAAAUCUUCUGGCACAUUCCUAGGAAACUGGAACUGGUCUUAAUCUUAUCCCAAAUUUUGAUCUUGUGAUUAUUCGACACACCGGCCCAGUUCUUAACUGUGAUAUCAAGAAAGUCCCUCACACAGAAACUAAUUGCAUUCCUAUAUUUGGGUAGGGCCUCCUCUGGAGCUAGGGGCUGUCCGGUAGGGCUCACAUCUGUGAUGGCAUAUGUGUCAUCUGGAAAUUGGUUAAACUCUCUCUCGCCUCGUUUCAAACCUUGUCGCUUCCUUUUCCUAGACUGACAUGGCCUCUCAGGGCUCGUCGUUGCUGUCGUCGGUUCCGGUGCGUCUUCGUGUGCCACUUCCUCCUGAGACAUCAUCUCUCUAAACUGAGACAUUGCCUCCUGAGUAUAGACAUGUGAAUCAUGGGUGUGUUUAUAUGUAGGAACUAUGAAUAGAAAUCAUUUAAUUACAUGAAAUCGUGAAUGUCUCUAAUUUACCUCAUCGGCUUCUGGAUUGUAAUCGGGGUCACGUGCCAAUUCACGACGAGUCUUCCUCACUUCUGGAGGCUCCAUGUCGUCGCUAGCUUCUUGUUCAUAGGACGAACCUGAUGCUUCGCCCGUUUCUACUUGUUUCGUGACCUCACGAGCUUGUUCCAUAGGGUCAGUUGACCCUUCUACUUGCUCCGUGGGUUGGGAUUGCAGUGUUUCGUCCUUGUGCGGAGAACUCAUCGCAGAAAUCUAUGUAAUUUAUACAUAAAAUUAAAUGAUUUACAUACACUAAUAUAUCAUACACUAAUAUAUACAUAAUAUAUCAUACACUAAUAUAUUAAAUGAAUUACAUAUACACUACUACAUAUAUAAGCAGAUUAAAUUUACAUACACUAAUAUAUACACUAAUAUAUCAUACACUAAUAUAUACAUAAUAUAUCAUACACUAAUAUAUUAAAUGAUUUACGUAUACACUACUACAUAUAUAAACAGAUUAAAUUUACAAAAUUCCAGCCCAACAGGCCCAGCAGGCCGUCACUCCCUCUCCCUUCUCUCCCUCUCUCUGGCAGGUGGGCCCCACCUGUCGGGGUCAUCCCCUACCUCCAGCCACCGCCGCCACCGCACCGCCCUUUCCACCACCGCACACCCCGCACCAGCCCCAUCCUCUUCCACCAUCGCCACUGUUGACGGUCCUUAAGUAUCAAAUUUAAAUAUCAAAUAAACAAAGAAAAGGAUCCAAAUGAAAUCAACAUCUAGACUUAGGGUUUUAUCUGACAGAAUUCCACGAGUUUUGGUGUUUGUCUAUUUCUGCAGGGGGUUAUCAGGAAAUAAGAAAGAAAGGCCCACAUGUCUGGAUUACAUAGAGAUAUCAACGCACCGCGCAAUUUUCUACCAUCUAGAAGACUCCAGAAGCCACGAGACCGAAGCGGAGGCGAAACGGGGCCAGGACCUGGGCGCCCGCCCAGUUUCCUUGGGCGCCCGCCCACCUGCCGAGCCCAAUCAGGACUCUUUCUCUCGGGAGAUCUCCACCGACCUAUUGGAUCCAGAAUAAUGUAGUACCACCUCGCCUACUGACCCAAAAGCGUAUAGAAGGGGAGGACUAUAUAAGGAGACCCCCCUGGCCCCUGGAGAAGACAAGAAAUUAUCAUAGAGAUUGAGGGGUGCCCUCGAAGGAAAACCUCUUCUCUAAAUCAUAUUUCUUUUUAGGCUUAGCAACCAAUGUAAAGUAGAAAUAGAUCUUCUAGUUUCUACUAGAUUGAGAGAGAUAGAGUGGAGGUGUGGAUCGGAGGAAGGCCGGCCUGUCGGUGUCUACUCUGAGUUGUACCUACGGGAUCAAGUCUCCUAACCCGAGGCUUGCUUCUAAGAUUCUUCAGUAAUUCGACUUCUAAUACUAGUAAGUUCUUGUUUUAUUGUUCUUUGAUUUAUGAGUUUACUUUAAUCCUCUUCCGGUUGAGUAUUAGAGUAAUCACUUGUUGGCGUAAACGUGGUGUUUAGGCUAGGGUACUCAUAGAUAUCCCCUGACUAGCUGGACCGUGGUAGUAGCGAGGAACGUGACAUUUCCGAGUUACCUUUGUAUCCCAUAUCUUGUUAGCAGGACGGGUAGGGUUAUAGGUGCGGGUCGAACAUCCUUUGUGUUGUCUAGAUUCCGUGAGCCUCCCCAAUAGAACAGUAGAUCAUCCUUACCAAGGUUAGAACGAGACUACGGUUGCAGUCUUCUCUAUACAUCACUCACAUCGAGAGACAUUCUUUGUAGCCUAAAGGGGUAGUAGCAAUAGAUUUGGUUAGUCAGAUGCACCAUUUCUCCCAGUGGUAAAAAUAAAAAUACGAUAACUCUGGAAAACCUCCCAUGUGAAAUGCUCACCGAUAUCCGUGCGCUUGCGGAUCAUUUCCUUAUUGCGUUACCAAAUAUCAACAAGCAUUUCUGGCGCCGUUGCCGGGGAGAAAGACGGUUUGCUGAGAUAACUUUGAGUCUUGCUAUUAUCUUGUAUUAUACUUUUAUGCUUUUAUUCUUUUAUCUUUUUAUUUUUAUAUUUAUGGAUACCUUAAAUUUCAUACCUAUUUUAAAAUUCUUUGCACCUUCGGAGACCAGCCAUUGUUGACGGUCCUUAAUGCUCACAUUUAACCAUCAACUAAUCAUAGAAAAGGAUCCAAAUGCAACCAACACCUAGACUUAGGGUUUUAUCUGACAGAAUUCCACAAGUUUUAGUGUUUGUCUAUUUCUGCAGGGGGUUAUUAGGAAAUAUGAAAGAAAGGCCCACACGUCGGGUUUACAUAGAGAUAUUAACGUGCCGCGCAAUUUUCUACCAUCUAGAAGACUCCAGAAGCCACAGGAACGAACGGGAGGCCGAUCGGGCCUGGGGGCAGGGCGCCCGCCCAAGUCCCUUGGGUGCCCGCCUAGCUACAGUAACCAAUCAGCUUCAACUUCACGGAUCGUGCUCCACCGACCUAAGGGACCAAGGAAAACCGUGCGAUCAAUGUCGGUUUGAUCCGACGGCCCAGAUUCACUUGAAGGGACUAUAAAACCAGACCCCCUGGCCCCUGGAGAUCAUACCUCUUCUACAGAAUCAAAGCUAGGGUUUCAAUUCUUCAUCCAAGUAGAGAGGAUCCCUCUAGUUCUUCUAGUUCUACCUCUAGUUCAUCUAGAUCUAGUUCUAGUUCAUCUAGUUCUAGUUCUAGUUCCUCUAGUUCUAGUUCUAGUUAGUUCUAGUUGUAAUCUAGAAAAUAGGGAGAGAGAAGAGGAGAGCGGAGGAGGAGCCGGAUCUGUCGGAUCUUCCUCAACAUUAUACUUUUGCAGCAUCUGGUUCGUUCUUCAUCGUUCUCCAGGUUCUUCAAUUCAUAAUCCUGAGUUCUCUAAUUACUUUUAUUUACAUUCAAGUUAUUUAUUGGAUUCCCGCUUGCAUCAAGUGCUCUAGUCUUUAUAACGCUAGAGUAGUAAUUAAUAGAUUAGACGUGGUGUUUAGUCUUGCAAUUACCUGGAAUUGCACCUAAUCCUGCAGAUUGUUGUGGUAGCCUUAGGGUAGUGACAGCUCUAACGAUCGACGUAUUCCACCACGUUCGGAUCGGUGUUUGUAGGACCGUAGUCAGACCUUCCUAGCCCCCUUCUCAUCUCUUUCUGUGGUUAGUGCUCUGAUGUCCCGAUAUAGAUAAUCUUGAAGUAAUUCUCGAUUCUUAGAUCAACUAGAGAACUCUCAAGAAACUUCCUCUCUUCCCACCAAAAAUAAUUAUAUAGUUAUCCUUGAGCGAUCUUGGAUCUUAAUUAGUACACUCACGUUCUCUGUGGAAAAUCGAUACUCUGGAAUACUCCCGGGUGAAAGCUACAUCGGUAUCCGUGCGCUUGCGGAUUUUUUUCUGUUUGCGUUUAAAAUACCCAACAGCCAUAGACCAUGGGAGUCAACACGUCCUGCCCCUAAUUAUGAUCUGUGUCUGGAGUUGAUUGCAAUAGGUCAAAACCAACCCUUUUCUAUAGCCGAGGUCCUAUCUUUUAAUCAAGAAGUUAAUGCACUUUUAGCUACACCUAGGAAAUCUGUUAAUCUUUCUAUAAAUUUUGGUUUAGACCUAGCCCUACAAGACCAUGUCUUUUCUCGAUAUUUUUACAUUGGUCUUUAUCAUAUAACCUUUGGUGGAGUCUUUCUUUCUUUAUCUAUUAGUAAAGGAAGGUAUGUCUUCAUUCGUGGAUAUCCUUCUUGUACUAGUCUUCAUAGAAAAAUCUUAGAGAUAGAGAAGGAAUCAUCUCCCAAACAAGGAAAGGAAGUUUCAAUAGCCAAUUUCCCAACAUUUCAAUCCCAUGAUUCGCCUAUCCAACCCAUCCUUGAGCUUAAUAAUUUAUACUCUUCUCUUUCUCUUGAACCUCCCGAUGAUCCAAUGAAUCUAUCUAGACAUCUCAUUCAUAAGAGUCACCAAGACCACAAGGAGGAUUGAGAAGAGCAACAUCAAUGGCUAGAGGGCAUUAAAAAUCAAUGUGCUAUCACCAUUGAAUGGAUAGAUAAAACAAACUUGAGAGACAAUCCUAGAGGAAUUUUAAGCAUUCAUGAAGAAUCAUCCUUGGAGUUUGAGAAUGGGAGGAACAACAGUGAGCAUGGAAGUUAUUUCAUAAAUACUUCACCAAGUCCUUGUUCAUAUAAAACAUCUCUCAAAUCAAUUGGUCUCUCCAAUCUUACCACAUUUGAGAUCUCCAACCCUCUCUUCCUUUAUAUUUAUAACAACUUAAACAGAGCGGUUGUCGAUGCAUAUGUCUAUAAUAAAUAUUGCAGAUCUCGUUGAGUUGAUCUUGAUAUAGGUCAGCGUUAGAGGGGAAACCACUUCGCUGGCACAAAUUGAUGGUUUCCCAAGGACAAGCUUAGUGUCCUAAAACAAGCACUGAUCAGAUCGUAACUUGAAUUAUUUGCAACAUUACCUUGUGUAUCGAGCAUAUAAAGAUAAUUGUAGAAAUAUUCCUUCGGGUAUUCUUGCCACUAACCCUUCCAGGAUUGAAGCAAGAAGAUCGGAUGAAUGACAAGCACAAGGUAUGUCCAACCAACCAUCACACAACAUUGAAUUAAAUUCAUCCAAACUUGAAUUUUGCAAAAUUCAAGCUUGGGGGAGUACUUUACAUAAAAACAUCUUUUGCCAUGUUGCUACGUUGGUUGUCCUUACCUUUGAGACAUGCUAAAUUUGUUAAAUACUAAUUACACUACUUCAUCUCCACUUAAGUAGAUCUCUAUAAAUGCUCUCAAGCUAACUUUAUUUGCUUUAGUAUAUGUCUAGGCUUGGAAUAGUUUCAUUUAUCUCUUAAUUAAGCAUGGUGCUUAGUUUAGGAAUGAUGAUCUUACUUCCAAGGUAUUUUAAAUUAGGCAUGGUGCUUAGGUUAAAAUUCCCUUCUAAAUCAAAUUAGACAUGGUGUCUAGGUUGAUUUUUGAGCCGAUAGUAUGCUAUAGUAGAUUUGGGAUAUUUUGUUGGACUAACCCCUGCAGGAAAACUUUCAAUAUCAACCUGGGAAGUCCUGAGAUACAAACUCAUUGGAGAUAAAGGAGACACAAGAAGUUUAACAAUUUGCACAAGAAAGAUGUAGCUCAUAAGAGAUGAUUCAUGGAGAAUGCCACAAACACGAUGCACAACCGCUAAGAAAGGAAAGCUUCCACAAGGUGAUACUGUACCAUCACUAUUCAAGUAAGGUAACAUUUUAAGGUACUUGACUAUCGCUUUUAUAAGCUUCUCCUUGGUUCUAGCAUUCACAUAAAUAAAGAGACAAACAUGUAUGAUUUAUAACUCCAGAUUAACCAACUCAAUUAAUUCAUCAUGUUUAGUCCUUAAUCUUUGUUCUUAGUACUACCUUCGUGAUCCCAUACUCCUAAUCAUAUAAGUUAAAAUGUUGCACAUUCAAUCUUUGGAAGAUAUAAACAAAACAUAAAUCGAUUAUCUUUCCAUUACGUUGAGCCAUCUGAUCUAACAAAUGUUUUAAAUGCUACACUCAUGAUCCAUCAACUUUGUCUUGCUCACUAUGCUUAAGGUUAGAGAAGGACAAAUACACUUUUGGUUCUGUUGGUGUUUUCCACCAACAGGGCCCAUGCACUUGAUCUCUGCCUUGUCUCUAUGAAUAGGUACACUUCAAACAAAACAUGGAGGAGUUUUACAACUCCCAGAUUCCACCAAGUGAAGAAUCGGGAUCUACGAGCACAAACACAAUGAAGAUCAGACACUUAGUUUCCCAAAGGAAAUAUUGAAGAACCUCUGUGUCUGAGUUGGUACCUUGUAUGCUCCAGCAAACUUCGUGGUGAUAGAGACUGGUACUGAGGAGAGGGCACCCAUCAUCUUAGGGAGGCCAUUCCUAAACACCAGAGCUGUCAUCUACGCUAAUGCUGCCAAGAUCCGUUUCUACAUCAAGGGGGAGAAGGAGACUUUUCUUCAAGAACAAGACUACACAACUUCAGAGCAAUCCCGACAUGAGCCAAGGAAGAGGACCAACAGGAGGAACAGGAACAAGCAAAUGUGGACCGAGUCAGCUAAGAUGGUCAGUGCAGCUCAAGGAGGUCAAGAUCGUCGACUCAAGUCACCUUUCUUGAUCAAGAAGGACGACCCUGGUGUUCCAAGCAUUGACUGCACAAUCAACAAAUACUCUUUUUAGAAGACACUCUACGACACCGGAUCUGACGUCAACAUAAUGACCGCAGUCACUUAUCACCUCCUGCAUGGAACCAUGCCCCUACAACCAAUAUAUAUUUAGCUCCAGAUGAUUUUCAGGUCAUUGACAUGGGAGAAGACGAGUAUGAUCCACCCACCAUCCUUGGAAGACCAUUCCUCAACACUAUCAAAGCAAUCAUCUACAUUGGAACCGGAGAAGUCCACAUGCACUUCCCCUCUGAGAAGGUACGCCGCUAUUUGACUGACCCUAACUAUAUAGUUGAAGACUCUAAGCAGGUCAGGACAAGAAGAAGACAACGCAACCGCAACCAGAGGAGGCAAAUCAUCAAGGACGGAUGGACAGACUACAAAGGAGAAGUGGUAAGGUCUGAAGACAUACAGCUUGAACAGAACUGUCCUGAGGAGACCGUAGCACCGAGUCAGAUGUGGAAAGAGAAGAUAGUUAUACACGAAGAGGAGGCGCCGCCGGAACCACCGACUACGCCACCUAGCGAAUCCCAGGACGACUGAAAAUACAAGAAGUCCCGUUCAGAGGACUUAAAAACACCGAAUGCCUUGCCAAGAGGUAAACUUGGUAGUUAUCCUUUUCCAUUCAAUAGUUUGCUUAGUUAAUCAGGUUCAUAAAAGAAAAUAAAAAUGUUAAAAAAAUAGUAAGCCCCAUGUGAGUAUGCUCAUGGCAUAAAACCCAUAAGUACAUUCACUGUGGUGGCAUAAAAAUAAAAUAAAUAAGUUUUCAUCUUACAAUAAAAAUAUAAAAAUAAUAAGUGCAUGAUCCUGCUAAAUAAGUAAUAUUUAUUAAGGAGGCUCAACAUGAUAAUGGCUAGAUAUUUAUGCUAACACUUAACCAGUUCCACAAAGCUUUGUUGUCUAUUUGAGCUCCACAGAAUUCAAGGAUCAAAGAAGACUAGCAGACGGAGGACAUUCUAAUCGCUGUCGGAAUGCUGCUGACUUUCAAAUACACCUCUGCUACCUGCUAGCUACAUCAGAAGAAAUUACGUCAAAAUCCAGCUUGGGGGAGAGCACCCCCAUUUAUCCAGCUAAGUGUUUCUACUCGCGUUUAUACUUUACUCAAAUAAUAAAAGAUGCAUAAUCAUGAAAACUCAAAUAAAGAUUUUGUGCUUUUAUAUAUAUUUUUUUGCUUACUUUGCUAAAUAAAUAAAUAAAUAAAGUUUGCUAUGAACCCUCAUGAUAAGCUCUCAUAUGGAAAUGAUGAAUAGUUGCUCUGCCAUGACUAGUUCUUAAAAUUGAAAUCUCUCUCAAGUUUAGGCAUAACUGUUAUAAUUUAUACCUGCUUUAAACCUGAACUUGUGGGAAGAUUACUUGAUCUAAAGUCUAAGUUGUUAAUGGAUAUGAUAGGGAAGGUUGAGCUGCUGUUUAUCUGUUCCUAGAGAUGCUAGAAUUCUGGAGAAUUUUAUCUUUGAAAAUCUUUAAAAUAACACAUGAUGAGUUCCUAUAUGAUGAGAGUUUAAAUUCCUACCACAACCAUAUAUACAUGCUUGCUAAACUUUGAGCCACAUAUUUACUUUCUACUGCUUAUGAGCAUUGAGUGUGGUCAAGCUAUGUAGACCCUUAGUAGCUUGUCAUGUGGUUAAAAUCAAGAUUCACUUGCACAUUCACUCAUACAUGCUACUUCUAUUCCGGAAGUACGCAUCCACAUACAUCCACUCAUUUCCAUCUCUAGAUUCACCCAAAAUUAUUCUACUCCUAAUCCGGGAGAGAAUAGCCAAAAACAUUUUCCUAUCCCUCUUAUUCUCUGUGAAAUAAAUGCUCAAGUUAUUUUGGUUACUACCACUUGCUACAUUAUUUUAGGAGAUGAGUGCUCUAAAAAAAGAGAAAGAAAAAAAGAGAAAAAAAAAUAAAUACGAGGAAAUAAAAAGGGGCAAGUGCCCGGAACCUCGAAGAAAAGAAAAAGUGAGACGAGAGGUAAAAAUGGACAAGUGUCCGACAGUAGAAUUAGGGGUACAAGAUACCCACCUGAGAGGAAAGAAAAAAAAAUAUAGAGCAUCUCAUUCUCCCCAAAAAGCUUCAAAGUGCAAGAAAGGUAUGUAUCCCCUUAAAAGAGCAAAAAUAGAAUUUGACUUUCACCAUUAUUAUCAUCAUCAUCACCAUACACCAUUCAUUCGCCACACAUGCACAUCUUGAUUUGACUUAUUGACUUGUUUCUCUGGAUCCAUGGUUUGACUAUGCAAUAAAUGUCUUGUAAGUAUGUAUUAGCUGUCUCCCACCUAUGAGUUCCAGAUAUCAGAACCUUAUUAGAGUAGGGUGAGAGAGAAGGCAAUAUCACUAUGCCUCAUACCAAAAAUACCACAUACUUUGAGAGAAGGCAUAUACCAUUACUGCCUUGGUAAGGAUCCAGAAAUACCACAAAAGAGAGAUCUGAGAGAGUCAUAUAAGGAAUCUCUGAGUUUUAUUUUCUGCAAAAACCCCAGAGCUAUAGCUGAUCAAGAAUAAGAGACAUGGCGCUUGACUUGACCGUUCUAUCUUUUAACUGCUCAAGACACAAGUGACGGUUACAAGCCCCAUGGUGAAAGGUAAAAUGAGUAAGUUUUAAGUCUUAACAGUUUAUUCUAACUCAGAGAUGAGAUCUUGCUUGAAUGCGUGUGUACCUUUAAGAAAUGAAACCACUGCAGAAACUCUUGAGUUCAUCCUUGCUCAGGGAUGAGCAAGAGGUAAGCUUGGGGGAGUUGUUUACGGUCCUUAAGUAUCAAAUUUAAUUAUCAAAUAAACAAAGAAAAGGAUCCAAAUGAAAUCAACAUCUAGACUAAGGGUUUUAUCUGACAGAAUUCCACGAGUUUUGGUGUUUGUCUAUUUCUGCAGGGGGUUAUCAGGAAAUAAGAAAGAAAGGCCCACAUGUCAGGAUUACAUAGAGAUAUCAAUGCACCGUGCAAUUUUCUAACAUCUAGAAGACUCCAGAAGCCACGAGACCGAAGCGGAGGCGAAACGGGGCUAGGACCUGGGCGCCCGCCCAGUUUCCUUGGGCGCCCGCCCACCUGCCGAGCCCAAUCAUGACUCUUUCUCUCGGGAGAUCUCCACCGACCUAUUGGAUCCAGAAUAACGUAGUACCACCUCGCCUACCGACCCAAAAACGCAUAGAAGGGGAGGACUAUAUAAGGAGACCCCCCUGGCCCCUGGAGAAGACAAGAAAUUUUCAUAGAGAUUGAGGGGUGCCUUCGAAGGAAAACGUCUUCUCUAAAUAAUAUUUCUUUUUAGGCUUAGCAACCAAUGUAAAGUAGAAAUAGAUCUUCUAGUUUCUACUAGAUUGAGAGAGAUAGAGUGGAGGUGU
rnacentral:lncRNA from 1 species